rnacentral:rRNA from 1 species
GCGGAUGGAGCUGAAGCCAGUCGAAGAUACCAGCUGGCUGCAACUGUUUAAUAAAAACACAGCACUGUGCAAACACGAAAGUGGACGUAUACGGUGUGACGCCUGCCCGGUGCUGGAAGGUUAAUUGAUGGGGUCAGCCGCAAGGCGAAGCUCUUGAUCGAAGCCCCAGUAAACGGCGGCCGUAACUAUAACGGUCCUAAGGUAGCGAAAUUCCUUGUCGGGUAAGUUCCGACCUGCACGAAUGGCGUAAUGAUGGCCAGGCUGUCUCCACCCGAGACUCAGUGAAAUUGAACUCGCUGUGAAGAUGCAGUGUACCCGCGGCAAGACGGAAAGACCCCGUGAACCUUUACUAUAGCUUGACACUGAACAUUGAGCCUUGAUGUGUAGGAUAGGUGGGAGGCUUUGAAGCGUGGACGCCAGUCUGCGUGGAGCCAUCCUUGAAAUACCACCCUUUAAUGUUUGAUGUUCUAACUCGGCCCCAUAAUCUGGGGUGAGGACAGUGUCUGGUGGGUAGUUUGACUGGGGCGGUCUCCUCCCAAAGAGUAACGGAGGAGCACGAAGGUUAGCUAAUCACGGUCGGACAUCGUGAGGUUAGUGCAAAGGCAUAAGCUAGCUUGACUGCGAGAGUGACGGCUCGAGCAGGUACGAAAGUAGGUCUUAGUGAUCCGGUGGUUCUGAAUGGAAGGGCCAUCGCUCAACGGAUAAAAGGUACUCCGGGGAUAACAGGCUGAUACCGCCCAAGAGUUCAUAUCGACGGCGGUGUUUGGCACCUCGAUGUCGGCUCAUCACAUCCUGGGGCUGAAGUAGGUCCCAAGGGUAUGGCUGUUCGCCAUUUAAAGUGGUACGCGAGCUGGGUUUAGAACGUCGUGAGACAGUUCGGUCCCUAUCUGCCGUGGGCGUUGGAAGAUUGAGAGGGGUUGCUCCUAGUACGAGAGGACCGGAGUGAACGCACCACUGGUGUUCGGGUUGUCAUGCCAAUGGCAUUGCCCGGUAGCUAAGUGCGGAAAAGAUAAGCGCUGAAAGCAUCUAAGCGCGAAACUUGCCUCAAGAUGAGUCUUCCCUGGACCUUUAAGGUCCCUGAAGGAACGUUUAAGACUAAGACGUUGAUAGGCUGGGUGUGUAAGUGCAGCGAUGCAUUGAGCUAACCAGUACUAAUGAUCCGUGAGGCUUAACCUU